rnacentral:lncRNA from 1 species
CCCCCCGACCUCCGGGGAGGAGAGAGGGAUUGAAGGUUAAGUUGAUCUUCAAUGGCCAAUGAUUUAAUCAAUCAUGCCUGUGUAAUGAAGCCUUCAUAAAAACCUAAAAAAGGACGGGGUUUGGAGAGCUUCCUGUAAGCGAACCCGUGAAGGUUCCAGGAGGAUGGCGCACCCGGAAAGGGCGUGGAAGCUCCGCGCCCCUUCCCACAGACUUUCCCCCAUCCAUCUCUUCAUCUGGUGUUCAUCGAUAGCCUUUGUAAUGUCCUUAAUAGUAAACCGGAAAACAGUGGAGGAAGAAGAGAAUCACCACAUAUCGUAUUUAGAGGUCCUGCAGAAAGGGCAGAGCGAGUUUCAUGUUUGAGUGCAGCGGAUGCAUGGGCAAAGCAUUACACAGCCGCUCCAUGGAAGUGACAAUGAGCCUUGUCUUUCACACGUAACUCCAGGAACCAGGGGAAACAAAACCAAUUCCACCCAGAGGUAAAUAAAAAUCAAAGAGCGUUCGAGGCAGCCGCAUUGACUCACCUUGCAGACAAGCAAGCAGAGCCGCAGAGCAGUGACCCGUGCCCAGCGCCUCGCAGCUAGAGCUGGAUUGGAAUCCAGGGCUUUGCAGGCUUCCUGCUUCACUCAAUCCUCUUUCUGUUGCCUCUGGCCUCAAGGUGUUGGCCUGGGAGGAAGUAGCAGAUUAAAUUCCAUGGGCACGAAGUCCGUAGCUGACGAAUACUUAAUAUGUUGCAGUUUCACAGUGAAAGUUGGCAAGUCCAGGGUGGGAACAUGCCCCAAGCAGCUGAGUCUUCUGGAUUUUACUUCUGUUCUUUGCCUCUCAAUUUUUGAUUUUGUUAUAUAAAAAGCAAAUCAGUAA